UACAGCAGGUUAUCAUCACACAGCACCAGUGAGUUUAAGAAUUGAGGCUCCUAAGUUGGCAGCCCAGGGGUCAAACCCCAUCUCUGCCACUAACCUCUGCUCUUAACCUCCUGUGGCCUCUGUUUCUCCAUCUGUAAGAGAAGAGAAACAGCACCUCCCUUCUGGUAGAAAUGUGAAGACUGAGCGAGUUCAUGGAAGCCAGUGGCUAGCACAGAGUGGUGAGGUCAGUGUCCUGGAGGAACCAGUGUCAUUGUUUACCACUUGGACCCACCAUGUGUUCCAAUCCCCAGGCUGCCCCAGCUCUGAGAUCCUGAGACACACAAGCGCAGUUCUGACCGAGGAUAAGAAGUUUGGUGAUCCAGCCUGGGGAGACAGGCUUGCUGGGGGAGUACCAUUAGCCCUGUGAGGUUCUGGGAAAUUCGGGCACUUCAUGGGAUGCUCAUCGACAGACUCCUGCAGCUCGGGCUGUGGGCAGAAUGGGGCCUUCGGACAGGUGGAGAUCCCCAUGGUUUGCUAAGAGGACUCCCACUUGGAUGGUAUUCUUGGCUGCCCUGCUCUUUGUCUCACAAAGUCUCUUGCCACCACCUCCUGGUCCUGCAUCCCAGUGCGGAAUGUGAGUCUCUACACCGUCUUUAAUAAAGAGCCACAAACCAA